GACGUAGGGCGCGAGCGUGGUCCGGAUUUAUUGGGCGUAAAGAGCUCGUAGGCGGCUUGUCGCGUCGACCGUGAAAACUCGCAGCUCAACUGCGAGCCUGCGGUCGAUACGGGCAGGCUAGAGUUCGGUAGGGGAGACUGGAAUUCCUGGUGUAGCGGUGAAAUGCGCAGAUAUCAGGAGGAACACCGAUGGCGAAGGCAGGUCUCUGGGCCGAUACUGACGCUGAGGAGCGAAAGCGUGGGGAGCGAACAGG
rnacentral:rRNA from 1 species